UGAGGAAUUUUCUGCAAUAGGCGAAAGCCUGACAGAGCAAUACCGCGUGAGGGAUGAAGGCCUACGGGUUGUAAACCUCUUUUCUCAAGGAGGAAGUACUGACGUUACUUGAGGAAUAAGCAUCGGCUAACCCUGUGCCAGCAGCCGCGGUAAUACAGGGGAUGCAAGUGUUAUCCGGAAUCAUUGGGCGUAAAGCGUCUGCAGGUUGAUCUUUAAGUCUUUUGUUAAACCUCCAGGCUUAACCUGGAAUCUGCAAAAGAAACUAUUUAUCUAGAGUAUGGUAGAGGUAAAGGGAAUUUCCAGUGGAGCGGUGAAAUGCGUAGAUAUUGGAAAGAACACCAACAGCGAAGGCACUUUACUGGGCCAUUACUGACACUCAGAGACG
rnacentral:rRNA from 1 species